GACGAACGCUGGCGGCGUGCUUAACACAUGCAAGUCGAACGGAAAGGCCCUGCUUUUGUGGGGUGCUCGAGUGGCGAACGGGUGAGUAACACGUGAGUAACCUGCCCUUGACUUUGGGAUAACUUCAGGAAACUGGGGCUAAUACCGGAUAGGAGCUCCUGCUGCAUGGUGGGGGUUGGAAAGUUUCGGCGGUUGGGGAUGGACUCGCGGCUUAUCAGCUUGUUGUUGGGGUAGUGGCUUACCAAGGCUUUGACGGGUAGCCGGCCUGAGAGGGUGACCGGCCACAUUGGGACUGAGAUACGGCCCAGACUCCUACGGGAGGCAGCAGUGGGGAAUAUUGCAAAAUGGGCGGAAGCCUGAUGCAGCAACGCCGCGUGCGGGAUGACGGCCUUCGGGUUGUAAACCGCUUUCGCCUGUGACGAAGCGUGAGUGACGGUAAUGGGUAAAGAAGCACCGGCUAACUACGUG
rnacentral:rRNA from 1 species